GAUGAACGCUAGCGGCAGGCCUAAUACAUGCAAGUCGAACGGUGUCUUCGGACAUAGUGGCGCACGGGUGCGUAACACGUAUGCAACCUACCUUACAUUGGGGGAUAGCCUUUCGAAAGGGAGAUUAAUACCGCAUAAGACAGUAGCUGGGCAUCCAGCAGCUGUUAAAGAUUUAUCGAUGUAAGCUGGGCAUGCGUCCAAUUAGCUAGUUGGUGAGGUAAUGGCUCACCAAGGCAAUGAUUGGUAGGGGAACUGAGAGGUCAAUCCCCCACACUGGCACUGAGAUACGGGCCAGACUCCUACGGGAGGCAGCAGUAGGGAAUAUUGGGCAAUGGACGCGAGUCUGACCCAGCCAUGCCGCGUGCAGGAUGAAGGCGUUAUGCGUUGUAAACUGCUUUUAUACAGGAAGAAACGACUCUUGCGAGAGGCAUUGACGGUACUGUAUGAAUAAGCACCGGCUAACUCCGUGCCAGCCGCCGCGGUAACAC
rnacentral:rRNA from 1 species